rnacentral:rRNA from 1 species
GAUGAACGCUGGCGGCGUGCCUAAUACAUGCAAGUCGAGCGAACAGACGAGGAUCUUGCUCCUCUGACGUUAGCGGCGGACGGGUGAGUAACACGUGGAUAACCUACCUAUAAGACUGGGAUAACUUCGGGAAACCUGAUCUAAUACCGGAUAAUAUAUUGAACGGCAUGGUUCAAUAGUGAAAGACGGAUUUGCUGUCACUUAUAGAGGGAUCCGCGCCGCAUUAGCUAGUUGGUAAGGUAACGGCUUACCAAGGCAACGAUGCGUAGCCGACCUGAGAGGGUGAUCAGUCACACUGGAACUGAGACACGGUCCAGACUCCUACGGGAGGCAGCAGUAGGGAAUCUUGCGCAAUGGGCGAAAGCCUGACGGAGCAACGCCGCGUGAGUGAAGAAGGUCUUCGGAUCGUAAAACUCUGUUAGUAGGGAGGAAGAAAUGUAUAAGUAACUAUGCACGUCUUGACGGUACCUAAUCAGAAAGCCCCGGCUAACUACGUG